rfam:Triticum aestivum genome assembly, contig: Triticum_aestivum_CS42_TGACv1_scaffold_320985_4BL
CACCUACUUCCUUUGUCCCAAAUUUCUUGUCUUAGAUUUGUCUAGAUACGGAUGUAUCUAAUACUAAAAUGUGACUUGAUACAUCCAUAUCUAGACAAAUCUAAGACAAGAAUUUUGGGACGGAGGGAGUAAUUU